UACGAGAGCCUCGAGCGUUAUCCGGAAUUAUUGGGCGUAAAGGGUGCGUAGGCUGCACUGUUAGUCUUUGUCAAAGACCCGAGCUUAACUUGGGGAUCGCGAAAGAUACGGCAGUGCUUGAAAGUGCAAGGGGUGUACGGAACUCAUGGUGUAGGGGGUGAAAUCCGUUGGAUAUCAUGGGGAACACCAAAGCGAAAGCAGUACACUGGUGCAUAUUUGGACGCUGAAGCACGAAGCGUGGGUAGCGAAUGGG
rnacentral:rRNA from 1 species